rnacentral:rRNA from 1 species
AACGAACGCUGGCGGCGUGCCUAACACAUGCAAGUCGAACGCGAAAGGGGGCAACCCCCGGUAGCGUGGCAGACGGGUGAGUAACACGUGGGUAACCUACCCGGAGGUGGGGGAUAACCCUUCGAAAGGAGGGCUAAUACCGCAUGACAUCGCGGGGACUUCGGUCCUUGCGAUCAAAGCUGGCCUCUGUUUACAAGCUAGCGCCACCGGAUGGGCCCGCGCCCCAUUAGCUAGUUGGUGAGGUAACGGCUCACCAAGGCGACGACGGGUAGCCGGCCUGAGAGGGCGAUCGGCCACACUGGAACUGCGACACGGUCCAGACUCCUACGGGAGGCAGCAGUGAGGAAUAUUGCGCAAUGGGCGAAAGCCUGACGCAGCGACGCCGCGUGGAGGAUGAAGGUCUUCGGAUUGUAAACUCCUGUCGAGUGGGACGAAUGCCGUGAGGGUGAAUACCCCUCGCGGUUGACGGUACCGCUGGAGGAAGCCCCGGCUAACUCCGUGCCAGCAGCCGCCGUAACAC